AUGGGUGUACCCACUCAGCUCCUGUUGCUGUGGCUUACAGUUGUCAGAUGUGACAUCCAGAUGACUCAGUCUCCAGCUUCACUGUCUGCAUCUGUGGGAGAAACUGUCACCAUCACAUGUGGAGCAAGUGAGAAUAUUUACGGUGCUUUAAAUUGGUAUCAGCGGAAACAGGGAAAAUCUCCUCAGCUCCUGAUCUAUGGUGCAACCAACUUGGCAGAUGGCAUGUCAUCGAGGUUCAGUGGCAGUGGAUCUGGUAGACAGUAUUCUCUCAAGAUCAGUAGCCUGCAUCCUGACGAUGUUGCAACGUAUUACUGUCAAAAUGUGUUAAGUACUCCUCC